UACCGCUUGUCCCUUUCAGGGUCGCGGGGGGUGCUGGAGCUUAUCUCAGCUGCAUUCGGGCGGAAGACGGGGUACAACCUGGACAAGUCACCACCUCAUCGCAGGGCCAACACAGAUAGACAGACAACAUUAGACCUCACAUUCACACACUAAGGCCAAUUUAGUAUUGCCAAUCAAUCUAUCUCUAGGUGCAUGUCUUUGGAGGUGGGAGGAAGCCGCAGUACCCGAAGGGAACCCACGCAGUCACGGGGAGAACAUGCAAACUCCACACAGAAAGAUCCCCAACCCAGGAUCGAACCCAGUAUAAUUAACAUAAAUGUGGGAGGAAGCCAGAGUACCCGGAGAAAACCGAACGCAGUCAAGGAGAGAACAUGCAAACUCCACACAGAAAGAAGCCUAGCCCGGGAAUCGGACCCAGGACUUCUCACUAGACGUGUGAGCGGUACAUGAGGAUUUUAACUUGAAUGUAUUUGUACAACCUUUCACUGGACAACUCACAACAUAGCCUUCCACAACAUGUUCCUUCAGCAGUCCUCCAAACACCACGAGUCCAACUCAUGAAGUCAUGAUGACAUCGUUAUUGGCAGGCAAUGUGUGACAAACAUCUGUAAAUAAUGUAUGACUCUGUCAACACACUGUAGUGCCAUAUCACAAUGAAUUAAAGGCACACCCACAAUCAAAUGGUCAAUCCCUUACUGUGGAUCGGCAUUCACUCUUUUCAAUUGAAACUGAAAUAUUUCAUGCACUAAUUCUGAUUUUUGUUUUCUCAGUGUUUUUCUAACUCUCCAUAAAUGAAUAAAGACAUUUCUACUUUUUAAAAAAAAUUUUUUACAUUAUACAAGAUACAUUUUAUAAGGGGGUGAGUGAGAUGUCCACUAGGAUGGACAACAUGUGUUAAAAGUAGAGAUGUCCGAUAUUAUCGGCCGAUAAAUGCUUUAAAUUGUAAUAUCGGAAAAUAUCGGUAUCGUUUUUUAAAUUAUCGGUAUUGUUGUUUUUUUUAAUCAAC